rnacentral:sRNA from 1 species
GUUUUGCGUUAGGGAUUGCAGUGGAAAUCCUUUUUUGAUCUCGUUUUUUUUAACGAGAGAAAAAAAGAUUGCAACGAAAAGCCCGACCCUUG